AUAGAAUGACUCUCGGCAACGGAUAUCUAGGCUCUUGCAUCGAUGAAGAACGUAGCGAAAUGCGAUACUUGGUGUGAAUUGCAGAAUCCCGUGAACCAUCGAGUCUUUGAACGCAAGUUGCGCCCGAUGCCAUUAGGUUGAGGGCACGUCUGCCUGGGCGUCACAU
rnacentral:rRNA from 1 species